UACGUAGGAUGCGAGCGUUGUCCGGAAUUACUGGGCGGAAAGAGCUCGUAGGUGGUUUGUCGCGUUGUUCGUGAAAACCGGGGGCUUAACCCUCGGCGUGCGGGCGAUACGGGCAGACUGGAGUACUGCAGGGGAGACUGGAAUUCCUGGUGUAGCGGUGGAAUGCGCAGAUAUCAGGAGGAACACCGGUGGCGAAGGCGGGUCUCUGGGCAGUAACUGACGCUGAGGAGCGAAAGCGUGGGGAGCGAACAGG
rnacentral:rRNA from 1 species